CCUCUAGUUUACACGUAGUCACAGUGCCCAAAGGACGUUGGAUAACCUCGGGAAUAUCUGAGGAUAAACCGCGAUAGCGCCAAGGUUUCUGGAAUGAGCCAUGGCCGGAAAUCUAUAUGUGCCUGUUGGUAUUGUGACUGCGUCCGAUCAGUGCUUUGGUGAGGUAUAUGGCCCACCAAACCUGUAACCUGGUGACGGGCUUUGAGAGAAGGAGCCCGGAGAUGGGCACUGAGACAAGGGCCCAGGCCCUAUGGGGCGCAGCAGGCUCCGAAUACCUCUGCAUAUAGGCGAAAGCGUGACAGGGUUACUCUGAGUGAUGCCCGCUAAGGGGUAUCGUUUUGGCACCGUCUAAAAAAGUGGUGCAGAAUAAGGGGUGGGCAAGUCUGGUGCCAGC
rnacentral:rRNA from 1 species